rnacentral:lncRNA from 1 species
AAUUCUGACUCUGUCCCUGCCCCCUCCCUAUCUUUCUCUUUCUGCGCAGAUACGCUGAAUAAUGGAUUUUGAUGAAGUUUUAUCAGAGACGGGGUUGAAGAGGACAAUGGUGAGAUCAGAGACAAGGUGAGCUGCUUUACUCCUUAACGUACGAUGAGACCUGUGGCUAUUGUAUUUGCUUUAUCAUUUUCAUUAUUCGUAAAAAAUUCCACUACCCUUUUGACUAAUAAUAUACAUAUUCAUCCCACGAUCCAAAAGGAAUAUACCCACCAUUUAUUUUUUAGUUUAUUUUCUCUCCCUCUUAAUCUUUAUAUGCUUGUAGCUGAAAAAUUCGAAAGCGGUUAGGGUUUAUAAAUUUCAUCGAAUAGAUUUGAAAGAUAUAAUUAAAGAGAUUGGAGCUGAUAUCAGGUGAGGGUUUUGAAUUUUUUUGAUACUCAUAAUUUUAAUUUAACUUUUAUUUGUCAUAACUCUGUUAAAUUUUUUUUAUUAGCCUAAUUGAAAAUUGAUUGUAUAAUUUUUUUGAAUUUCAUGAAUUUGUUAGUUGGUUUUAUGAAUUGUUAUAGAAAUUAAAGAAUUAGGUAUUUGCGGAAAAAAUGUAGUAGAAUUUGAGAUUUUAUGAAUUAUUAUAUUGUCUUUUGUUUCUAUCUAGUUUAGUUAUUCAGAAGUUUAUGGUUUGAGUUACUUGGGGUUGAAUUGUUUGUGUUGAUUUGAUUUUACGUAUAAAAUUAAAUCUAAUACUUGUGCAACGACAAUUAUAAAAACUGAAGGAGAAUCAUAUAUACUUGUUCAGAGCACCCUUCAUACGUACUCCUAUGGCGGUGCAGUCAAUGGAUUCCGAUGAGGAUGGACUGUUGCGUUUGAAAGAUUUCAGCAAGCUUAUUAGAAAACGGAUGGGCAGCGUAUCAGAGAAGGAGGAGCUUAGAGUGGCGUUUGGGAUGUCCCAGCCUAGUCUGCCAUGCAUAUUUAUGUAGGUGGCAUGUCUGUUGACGACGGGAGGGAUAUAUUGAGAUGCAUUUUGCAACGUUGGGGGUAUUUUGAAAAAAAAAUAUAUAAGGUGAAAGUGGAAUAUCGUGAUAAAUGUUAAGAAUAUUUUUGGACAUUUGCCCUAUAAUAAGUACUUCCCCUGUCCUUUAAUAUAAGAUUUUUUAGAGUUGUACACAAAUAUUAAAAAAAUAAUUGUAUAGUAUUAAAUAUAAUAUCAAAUAUUUAUAUUAAUGUUCUUGUAUUGAAAAAG